GCCCUGAUAGCUCAGUGGAGAGAGCGUUCCCCUCCUAAGGGAAAGGCCAUAGGUUCAAAUCCUAUUCAGGGCA
rnacentral:tRNA from 1 species